ACUCGCAGAAGUGCCUGGAGAAUGCCC
rnacentral:piRNA from 1 species